rnacentral:rRNA from 1 species
UACGGAGGGUGCAAGCGUUAUCCGGAUUUACUGGGUUUAAAGGGUGCGUAGGCGGGUCUUUAAGUCCGUGGUGAAAUCCUCCCGCUUAACGGGAGAACUGCCAUUGAUACUAUUGAUCUUGAAUUCAGUUGAGGUGGGCGGAAUGUGUCGUGUAGCGGUGAAAUGCUUAGAUAUGACAUAGAACACCAAUUGCGAAGGCAGCUGGCUACACGAAUAUUGACACUGAUGCACGAAAGCGUGGGGAUCAAACAGG